CUGAAAAGCUAUAAAACUGGCUUCAGGGUAGAGAGAACGGGGAAGAGAGGGGCUUCCAGAGGUCUGGUCCUUGCUUUGGCCCUCCUAUAGGCAGCAGAGGCACCAGAGAAAUGAGCAUUCCACCGGCUGGCCAGGCUCUAUGACUGCAUGGACACUCUGGAAAUAAGCUUUGUCUGAAAAGGACUGGAAAGGCGCUGGCCCCUGAGAGACCUCAAACAUCUACGACGGAGUGAAAACCAACAGAGCCAUAAAGGGAGAAAGCCCAGGAGACAGUCGAGAUUCCAGGAGAAAAAUGACGACGCUGCUCCCUGUUUCUGCUACGGUUAAACUCAGCUGGGUCCCCUGAAAGGCAAAAGUUUACUUCCCAAAUUAGGGCCGUCUCUGUGGAAAACAGGACUGAAACUACACCUUGAUGGCGGAGUAUAAACAAUGAAGCCAUCAGAAGGUGGAAGAGGAGAAGGCCACGGAGGGGAUCCUGGGGUUACAACGCCACGGGCCGGCCACGGAGAGAUGGUGUGUGUUAGGAGAAACAAGGAAGCUGUGUGAGAUGCCCACUAUGUGAAGUGUCUGCUAGUGGAUAUUACCAUACAAAAUACAGAUUGGUGACCAGCACGCCCCUGGAAGUUCCCUCCCCACCGCACUGUGAUAGGAGACAGACAUCCUACACAUUGUACACCUUGGAAGAAGAGGACAGGUGUGUGAGGAAGAAUGUGCUGAAAUAACACCUGUCAAGUGGCAGAAGAAAAAUCUCGCUGAACUGAGAAUAUUGUACCCAGGUGGACUCCAGACUGUAGGCCAGGAGCGUCAGUAACCCAGCCCUGAGAAUCAGCCACUCUGCAGAGGACAUGGCCUGAGAAGCCUCUCUCCUGAUAACUUUCUUGUAGAAAUUGCUGCUGUCCUUUGCCAACUUUCAAAUUCAGUUUCGUCUUCUUACUGUGGAGUCAUGAGUCCUUGGCUUAUCUACUUUGUCUUCUCAAUUAUAUCUUGUAAAAAUGAAA